CUCUGCCGAGCACUAUUCCGCGAUUGCUCCUCUGGCAACGUAAGCGCAUUCUACGGUUCACUGGCUCGCAGUUUUGAUCGCUCCCUUUCCCUCCGUUUUGCGGAGCUCAGCAGCAAGCUGCAAGCUUGAUGGGGCCGUGUGGUCGGGUCGGCAUCAUCUUUUUCCCCACGAACAGCUUCAGAUUGCAGAGAGAUCGAUUACUCUCCUGGGAGGAAGACUGAAUGGCAACCGGAUUGUAAUUGUAGGAAUAAUGAUGAACAUGACAAGCAAGAUGAUUCAUAUCAGAAGCAGUCCGAAUCGUGAUCAGAUCUCUGGUGAUUUUUGAUUUGAUUGAAGUUGUAUAUAUAUACAACCAUACAUGAAUCAAAAGUGAAAUCUGUUGUUCUUGC